rnacentral:rRNA from 1 species
UACAGAGGGUGCGAGCGUUAAUCGGAAUUACUGGGCGUAAAGCGUGCGUAGACGGUUAUUUAAGUCGGGUGUGAAAGCCCCGGGCUCAACCUGGGAAUUGCAUUCGAGACUGAAUAGCUAGGGUACGGUAGAGCGAAGCGGAAUUUCCGGUGUAGCGGUGAAAUGCGUAGAUAUCGGAAGGAACAUCAGUGGCGAAAGCGGCUUCCUGGACCAGUACCGACGUUCAGGCACGAAAGCGUGGGGAUCAAACAGG